GAGAACAUAGCUUAGUUGGUAAAAGUAUUGGCCUGUCACGCCAAGGAGCGCGGGUUCGAGUCCCGUUGUUCUCG
rfam:Amborella trichopoda AMTR_V1.0_contig_36054, whole genome shotgun sequence.